UACGUAUGGUGCAAGCGUUAUCCGGAUUUACUGGGUGUAAAGGGAGCGCAGGCGGCACGGCAAGCCUGAUGUGAAAGCCCGCGGCCCAACCGCGGGACUGCAUUGGGAACUACCGGGCUGGAGUGCCGGAGAGGUAGGCGGAAUUCCAUGUGUAGCGGUGAAAUGCGUAGAUAUAUGGAGGAACACCGGUGGCGAAAGCGGCUCUCUGGCCUGUAACUGACACUGAGGCUCGAAAGCGUGGGGAGCAAACAGG
rnacentral:rRNA from 1 species